rnacentral:rRNA from 1 species
AUUGAACGCUGGCGGCGUGCUUAACACAUGCAAGUCGAACGAUGAACCCGGAGCUUGCUCCGGCGGAUUAGUGGCGAACGGGUGAGUAACACGUGAGUAACCUGCCCUUGACUCUGGGAUAACCGCGGGAAACUGUAGCUAAUACCGGAUACGACCCUCGGCGGCAUCGCCAGGGGGUGGAAAGAAUUUCGAUCAAGGAUGGACUCGCGGCCUAUCAGCUAGUUGGUGAGGUAACGGCUCACCAAGGCGACGGCGGGUAGCCGGCCUGAGAGGGUGACCGGCCACACUGGGACUGAGAAACGGCCCAGACUCCUACGGGAGGCAGCAGUGGGGAAUAUUGCACAAUGGGCGCAAGCCUGAUGCAGCAACGCCGCGUGAGGGAUGACGGCCUUCGGGUUGUAAAGCUCUGUCGGAGGGAACGAAUAAGUCGGUUAAUACCCGAUGAUGACGGUACCUUCAAAGGAAGUACCGGCUAACUCUGUGCCAG